AACGAACGCUGGCGGCAUGCCUAACACAUGCAAGUCGAACGAGACCUUCGGGUCUAGUGGCGCACGGGUGCGUAACGCGUGGGAACCUGCCCUUAGGUUCGGAAUAACUCCCCGAAAGGGGUGCUAAUACCGGAUAAUGUCUUCGGACCAAAGAUUUAUCGCCUUUGGAUGGGCCCGCGUUGGAUUAGCUAGUUGGUAGGGUAAAAGCCUACCAAGGCGACGAUCCAUAGCUGGUCUGAGAGGAUGAUCAGCCACACUGGGACUGAGACACGGCCCAGACUCAUACGGGAGGCAGCAGUGGGGAAUAAUGGACAAUAGGCGAAAGGCUGAGCCAGCAAUGCCGCGUGAGUGAUGAAGGCCUUAGGGUUGUAAAGCUCUUUUACCCGGGAUGAUAAUGACAGUACCGGGAGAAUAAGCUCCGGCUAACUCCGUG
rnacentral:rRNA from 1 species